CAAGUCAUCAAUGGCUGGCCCAACUGGCUAUAAAAGGAACUCCAGUGCAGUGCUUAUAUCAUCAUUGAUAGACGCCAUCAAACCAAGUACAAUUGAACUAUGAUGGUACUUGAUUGAUACGUUUAAGACUCAGGAUAGGCCACAGCAGGUUAUCAAGUGAGUUCAUCAUGAGAAGUUUUCAAUGUCAAGUCCUCUUUAUGUCUCUGUGCAUUUUGCACCUCUUCAUUGUGACAGGGGGGCGCCCUCUCAGUAAACGGACAGUGAGUGAGGUCCAGCUCAUGCACAACCUCGGGGAACGCAGACAGGUGCAGGAGCGCCGCGACUGGCUGCAGUUGAGGCUCCGGG